GCCCCCGGCCACACGCUGCAGGGAGCCUGGCAACCUCUCUGCUCCUCCUCAGGAGCCCGCACCGCACCGGUAACAGCGGGAGGCCUCAGUAGGAGAGCUGGUACACGGAGGCCCAGGCCUGGCAGCCCGUGACGAUCAGCUUGUUGCUGGCGGACACAUCGCAGCGGGUGGUGCAGGAUUUCUCCAGCAGCUGGAACUCCGUGUACCCCGCGGGCAUGCUGUGAAUGGUGGUCAGCUUGUCCGUGCCGACGCUUACCCACCACUGACCAUACGGGGAGAACUUGAGCCCCAGGACGGCGCCGUUCUUGUGCCCCGCCGCGUGCGCCUGGCCCCUGAGGGUGGACUGCAGCCAGUGCUGCCCGCUGGCCAGGCCCACGAGCAGCCAGUCCUCCCAGAGGCUGUGCGACAGGCUCGUGAUCUGAGACUUGAAGAGAUGCUUCUGGGACUUGCGAGCUGCCCUGAGGUCCCAGCACUGCAGACAGCCGUUCAGGCCCCCUGUCCAGACUGUGUCGUCUUUAAUCACCGCGCUGUUGGCCUCACCCUGCCGGCCAGGAAGGUCUUUGACCACGUUCCGAUCCCGGACAUCCCAGAUCCUGACGGUGCCGUUGCUGAAGCCGGCGAAGGCCAGGCUGCCUUUGAGGUCGGCGUCCAGGGCCUGGCAGGAGAGCCCCUCGCAGGGCAGCUGGCUUGGGUUGUGCAAGUCCGGCGCCAGCAGGUCCCAGACAUUCACGCCCGACAGGCCGUGGCCGCCGGCGAAGAGCAUCUUGCCGUUGGGGGCCAGCAUGCAGGUGGACAGGAAGGCGCCCGGGGUCUGGAUGGGCCAAUGCAGGUGGCUCUGGGGGAAGGUGUCCUGGGCCUCCCGGCCGCCCAGCCUCCACACCUUGAGGCCGCCCGGGCCGCAGGUGAACGCGUGGCGCGUGAGGCUGUUUACGGCCGUGGCGAGGACGUGGUGCCCAUGUUGCAGCAUGUGCAGCCUCUGCACCUUGUAGGGCAAGCCCAAGCUCUCGGACUGGCCCCGUGGGGUGCCUGGGCGCAGCCACGUUUCCCCGAAGACCUCAGGGUCCUGGAAUGUGGGCCUCAGGAAUGGGUGGGCUUUUCGGUCCAGGGCCUGCUGCCCUCUGGGGGCCUUGGUGAAGUCCUCCUUGAGGUCCUCCCAGGAGCUGGAGGAGAGCUCUGCCGAGUCAGUUCGCGAAUCCUCCUCUUCCGACUUUGCCUCCAAGUUCAGCAGCGCGGGACCCGCGGCUCCGCGCCCUCCGGAGGAAAUCGCAUCAGCCCCCCGACUCUGCUGGCCCCGGACUGUCGCGCUGGUCCACCUGCGGCCUUUCCACGGGCCUGGCUCCCGCUUUCUGGCGGUCUGUGCUGCCAGCUUGUUUUGACCAGUCCGUGCCGAGACCCGAGACUGAAACCGAAACCGAGCACCGAGCGCUGAACGUCGCGAACCGACCCUGCUGACGAGAGAUCCGGGGACUACGGACCACGAACUCUGACUCAGGUCGUAUGGACAUUAUGAACUAUGUGUGUUGAGAUUGCAGUGGCAAAGAUAUUAUGGGUUGGCAUUACGCUUAUAUAUUACUACUUAUCCUAUUAUUUGCAUUAAUAUGGUCGUGUGUAUGUGUGGCCGAUGAGAGCAGUAAUAAAAACUCUUGUACUGAGACUC
ensembl:lincRNA